AACGAACGCUGGCGGCGUGCUUAACACAUGCAAGUCGAACGGUGAAGCACCUUCCUUUUGGUGGGUGUGGAUGAGUGGCGAACGGGUGAGUAACACGUGAGUAACCUGCCCCCUUCUUCUGGAUAACCGCAUGAAAGUGUGGCUAAUACGGGAUAUUCUGGGUCUGUCGCAUGGCGGGCCUGGGAAAGAUAUUGUUUCGGUGGGGGAUGGGCUCGCGGUCUAUCAGCUUGUUGGUGGGGUGAUGGCCUACCAAGGCGGUGACGGGUAGCCGGCCUGAGAGGGUGGACGGUCACACUGGGACUGAGACACGGCCCAGACUCCUACGGGAGGCAGCAGUGGGGAAUAUUGCACAAUGGGCGCAAGCCUGAUGCAGCGACGCCGCGUGAGGGAUGGAGGCCUUCGGGUUGUAAACCUCUUUCGCCAGUGAAGCAGGCCUGUCCCUUGUGUGGGUGGGUUGACGGUAGCUGGAUAAGAAGCGCCGGCUAACUACGUG
rnacentral:rRNA from 1 species